AUUGAACGCUGGCGGCAGGCCUAACACAUGCAAGUCGAGCGGAUGAAGGGAGCUUGCUCCUGGAUUCAGCGGCGGACGGGUGAGUAAUGCCUAGGAAUCUGCCUGGUAGUGGGGGAUAACGUCCGGAAACGGGCGCUAAUACCGCAUACGUCCUGAGGGAGAAAGGGGGGGAUCUUCGGACCUCACGCUAUCAGAUGAGCCUAGGUCGGAUUAGCUAGUUGGUGGGGUAAAGGCCUACCAAGGCGACGAUCCGUAACUGGCCUGAGAGGAUGAUCAGUCACACUGGAACUGAGACACGGUCCAGACUCCUACGGGAGGCAGCAGUGGGGAAUAUUGGACAAUGGGCGAAAGCCUGAUCCAGCCAUGCCGCGUGUGUGAAGAAGGUCUUCGGAUUGUAAAGCACUUUAAGUUGGGAGGAAGGGCAGUAAGUUAAUACCUUGCUGUUUUGACGUUACCAACAGAAUAAGCACCGGCUAACUUCGUG
rnacentral:rRNA from 1 species